rnacentral:sRNA from 1 species
UCUGAAUGCCAUCGAAUGGUAAUAUGCCCUGGCGAUGAAUCCCCCUAAGCGGCGGGACGCUCAGUUAGCUUAAGUUUGUCAAUAGUUGAUAUGCGCGAAUUGGGUUCAACUGGCCCACUCACCUGGAGGCACCAGGCAUCGCAGUUCACUUCAUUAUUUAAGCAGGAGUGUUUAUGAAUUCUAUUUUUUAUCUGG